GACGUAGGGGGCAAGCGUUGUUCGGAAUUAUUGGGCGUAAAGCGCUCGUAGGCGGGACAGGAAGUUCGUGUUGAAAGACCUCGGCUCAACUGAGGGACCGGCUCGAAUACUCUUGUUCUUGAGGCAAUCAGAGGGUGAUGGAAUUCCCGGUGUAGCGGUGAAAUGCGUAGAUAUCGGGAGGAAAACCAGUGGCGAAGGCGAUCACCUGGGGUUGUUCUGACGCUGAGGAGCGAAAGCUAGGGGAGCAAACGGG
rnacentral:rRNA from 1 species